CUGAACCUGCAAGCGGAGCAUCCCUCGGUCGAUGGUGACGUUUGGUUUUUCGCAACUAGCUCCCGCUCGUUGUGUCCGUGUGUGAACUGUCAAAAAACCGAAAAAGUUCACAUGUGGUUUGUUCUUUAUUGUACCCAGAAGCUGCCAUAGGAAUAACCUGAAUACUUACCGAAUACUUACCGAAAACAAAAGUAGGAAAGAGGAAAGGAAGAUAGUUAGAAAAGCUGGUCGGAAGGUAUUAGCGUGGGAGGAAAAUUUGAAAUUUUAGCCUGCAUAAAAAAGGUGCUUGCUCAUUAUUUCUUUCCGUUCGGGGACGACCGAACAAACUAAAAUUUCAAAGUUUGGAUCGCACCUCACCCUCGGCACGAUGAGCGACCAGGAA